AUACGGAGGGGACUAGCGUUGUUCGGAAUUACUGGGCGUAAAGAGUUCGUAGGCGGACUGAUAAGUAAGAGGUGAAAUCCCAGGGCUCAACCCUGGAACUGCCUUUUAAACUGUCAGUCUAGAGACCGGAAGAGGUUAGGGGAAUACCUAGUGUAGAGGUGAAAUUCGUAGAUAUUAGGUGGAACACCAGUGGCGAAGGCGCCUAACUGGUCCGGUACGGACGCUGAGGAACGAAAGCGUGGGGAGCAAACAGGAUUAGAAACCCUUGUAGUCC
rnacentral:rRNA from 1 species